rnacentral:rRNA from 1 species
GAUGAACGCUGGCGGCGUGCUUAACACAUGCAAGUCGAACGAUGAAGCCCAGCUUGCUGGGUGGAUUAGUGGCGAACGGGUGAGUAACACGUGAGUAACCUGCCCUUAACUCUGGGAUAAGCCUGGGAAACUGGGUCUAAUACCGGAUAGGAGCGUCCACCGCAUGGUGGGUGUUGGAAAGAUUUAUCGGUUUUGGAUGGACUCGCGGCCUAUCAGCUUGUUGGUGAGGUAAUGGCUCACCAAGGCGACGACGGGUAGCCGGCCUGAGAGGGUGACCGGCCACACUGGGACUGAGACACGACCCAGACUCCUACGGGAGGCAGCAGUGGGGAAUAUUGCACAAUGGGCGCAAGCCUGAUGCAGCGACGCCGCGUGAGGGAUGACGGCCUUCGGGUUGUAAACCUCUUUCAGUAGGGAAGAAGCGAAAGUGACGGUACCUGCAGAAGAAGCACCGGCUAACUACGUG